UAUGGGAAACUGGGCAACUUUACCUCUGCACAUGUUUUGAUAAAUUUCCCCCUAUAUGAUUUCCUUCUGCGCUAAAUCAUCAAGGACAAGCCAAACACCAUUGCUUCAGACAUCUUACAGGGUGUAUCUGGGGGGGACUUCUACCACCAACACCUACAGUGCAGCCCCUUUUUCACUGUGUUAGCCCACAUAGCAUAGGACAAUCCUGUGGAAGCCCUUUACAAGUAUGACCAAUGCUAUCUCAACCUUGACGAGCAGAGGACUUCAGGUCCCAGCUAUCGCACAGUUCUUCAUCUGCUCCCUCUAGGCUGCUGCACAUGUAGGAUAUAAAACAAGUCUGAAGGCAGAAAAAGAAGAACCUACUAGCUAAAGGGAUUGGACCAGCCAGGACUCGUCCUUUCAUUCUAAGGAAGUUGCAUGGUCUGCAUGCCUAGAGACACGAGAAAGGAUGCAGCACAAUUCUAUCCAGAAAGAAGCCAGGUUGCAGAUUGUAUGUGCAAACCUCAAGAACAGAGCCUGGGGACUUUAAGGCAGCCUAAGGGUAGGAUUUCUGAGCCUAUUUUUUGAACCAUGUAUAACUCGGUGCUCGCUAACAACGUUAAAUUGAAUACAUGUAUCAAUAUGUGACAUAUAAUUAAAUAUGGAUGCCGGAUCAAUGAUGUCGAGGAAGGAAAUGUGAAACAUGUAUAUAAAUUAAUGGAUAAUUUUAAAGUUGUCGCAAAAUAAUGGGACAAAAGGACUUAUCUUUAACGUCACCAGUAAAUGGGUCCGCUCUCUUGAAUAAUUAUAAUAUUGAUUGAAUUAUCCGCUCACACUAUUGUUUAGAUGGAAUAUAUAUGUUUGGAAUGCUAUGCCAUAUACAGGUUGUUACAACAAUAGUACAUAUUG